rnacentral:lncRNA from 1 species
AAUUAGUACCGUGGAGUGAUGCGUUUUACAGGAAUGACGUGCUUCCCCUCGCGGCACUUGGCCCUGGGCCCGUCGGUGCCAGAAUCCCAGCGCAGCCGACCCUCCCGGGUCCCAGGCGCUGCCGCAGGAGCCUCCUGCCCAGCUCGGCUGCCCAGCCCUGGGCGUCUCUGGUGCAGCCCACGAGGGCCAUGACAGCCACGGCCCGCCCAGCGGCCCCUCAGCUCCUCUGCUGCUGACCUCUUCCUCCUGACCCCCAAAACACUGCUAAUUCCAGUCUCGCCUAGAAAUGACAGACGAUGCCUGGAAACGACCGGUACCUUGGAGCAGGGCCUGCUGUACCAUGAGCCUGCUCCCAGCCAGGCCUCAACCCUUGUUGCAGGAGGGCUCCCCACUGCCGAGAGCGUGGCCGUCCCUCCCUCCCUCCCUCCCCUCUGCCGCAGCCCACGCGCGCAAACCCACCAGGACGCCACGGCCGGCGCCGGUGGCCUCACGUACAGGGGCAGUGCGGAGAAAACACGGGUGGCUGGAGACCAGCAAAAGGGUGGAGAGAGGAGAAACCCCAAACACCCAGGCCUGGAGAAAGGAGCAGGGCACAAGAUGGAGGCGGGGAAGGAAAUAACUGCAAUUUCAGAAAAAAACACUACAGAGGAGCCAUAUGUGGAGCCUCUGGGUACCCACGGGGUGGAGAAGGAAGGAUUCCAACCCAAUAGUGCCAAACGGCUGGUUUUUAUUUUUAGUUAUGAUAGGAGAGGUGUCUGGAGGAACAGGGACACCCCAAAAUUGUCUUACCCUCCCCGUUUUCUCUCUCUAGUUACUGCUUGCUUUGCUGUGCUUUCUGUCUUCAUGUAUUUUGAUUUCUGUCUGAGUACUGGGAAUAAAACACACCUCAUGUUCGUUGAGCCAGGCCUACCUUGUUUAUGAGCCUACCUGCUUAUGGUGUGAUGAAGAUAUAUGUAGCUGGAGUUUCAGCGGGUAUUAAUUACUACCAAUAAAAAUGAGUCAUG